rnacentral:pre_miRNA from 1 species
CCUGGUGAUCGGCGUGCUAGCCGUCGUGUAUCUCAUCUUCACGAGGCAGCGGUCGGCCGCCGCGAGG